AUUGAACGCUGGCGGCGUGCUUAACACAUGCAAGUCGAUCGGUAACAGGUGUAGCAAUACAUGCUGACGAGAGGCGGACGGGUGAGUAAUGCUUGGGAAUCUGCCUAUUAGUGGGGGACAACCCGGGGAAACUCGGGCUAAUACCGCAUACGCUCUACGGAGGAAAGCCGGGGACCGCAAGGCCUGGCGCUAAUAGAUGAGCCCAAGUCGGAUUAGCUAGUUGGUAGGGUAACGGCCUACCAAGGCGACAAUCCGUAGCUGGUCUGAGAGGACGACCAGCCACACCGGAACUGAGACACGGUCCGGACUCCUACGGGAGGCAGCAGUAAGGAAUAUUGCGCAAUGGGCGAAAGCCUGACGCAGCGACGCCGCGUGGGGAUGAAGGUCUCGGAUUGUAAACCCCUUUCGGGAGGGAAGAUGGAACGAGCAAUCGUUCGGACGGUACCUCCAGAAGCAGCCACGGCUAACUUCGUGCCAGCAGCCGCCGUAAG
rnacentral:rRNA from 1 species